CCGCGCCCGCCCUCCACGCCGCUCCCGGAAUAGACCCGGAGCACGCCUCGCCCCCUGGGCGGCCGGCCGGUCGGUGUCCCCGGUCCCGCACACACCCACGCCACGCCCUGCCUCGCGCACGCCCCCGCGCCCCUCCCGCGGUGGGCCGGGGACCCACUGCCAGGUUCACGCGCUCUCUCUCCGGAGCGGCCCACCCCUGCCCGGCCCGCGCGGUCUUGCGCUCUGCUUGCACUGGGCUGCGGAUGGGGGUGCUUACUGUCGCACCUUCCAUCCCAUUCCAUCUGCAGACUGCCCAGACUGUUAGAUCUUGUUCUCCGUCCCUCCACCCCCAGGGGAAUCAAAACCUCUCCUUGCAGCUGCCCCUCAUUUCCUGACUCUGGGUUUAUGGUCUCUACUCGACGGGUCUUGCUUGAGCACUUUCUAGUGCUGAUAGUGGACAGGGCGCUAGGCGGGUGCAGCGUCAAUAAUGGUGUGAGAGAAGAGCGGAAUAAUAAAGAUCUCCAAAAAGGAAGAUCGCCAAAGACAAGGACAGAGACGAUUAAAAGCUACCUUUGUGGAACCUCGAGGCAGAAUAUGGCUUCAUGAAGACUUCCAGGGAGUCUGUCCAGCUGGGUGCGUCCACCCCGACGGCCCAAGGUGGUCUGUCCCAGUCUGUGGCAGAGGAGGUCACGUUGCUGAAGGCCUGCCAGUCCUUAGAGGGACAGAGUGCGUUGAUGCUGACAUGACACGAUGGGUGCCAAGUCUUCAGUGGAGAGCUCGGCACACUGUCAGUACUUAGUAGCAAACUACUGUUAUUCUGAAGGAGAAACUGAGGCCAAGAGAGAGCUGCUCCCUAGACUUUUUUAUUCUGGAAAAUGUGCAUGGUUCAGCCUCUUCCCAUAUCACGCAUUUCCACUCAUACCAGAAACAACAGAAGGACACGGGUCUGGGUUGGAAUUAUGUGCUUUUAUGGGAAACAAAAAUACCCAACAACAAUAACAAAAGCCCUUCAUCUUGCCAAGUUCUCCACCGGUGAUAAUGAGGCAGUUUCAAUGAUUGCGUCUGGCUGGGGACAUUUCUAAAGGGUCAGGACAGUUGAAAGACACUGGCCAAAAGGAGAGUUGCAGAGAGGGUUGAUGUUUUAAGUGAGAGAAUAUUAGACCCCCUUCUGACCCCUCACCCUGUCACCCUUUCAAGUUACAGUCUCCUCUCAGUUUACAGAGAUCCUUCCUGAA